CUCUCCUGUGCGCUUUAAAAAGGAAAAAAGAACAAUCCAACGCAAUACUUCGGUCCUGUUUCCAGAGCGCCACUGCCAAGCUAACAAUUUCACUGAAUUAGGGGGAAUUUCCUCAAACAUUCGCUUGAGCUACAUUAAGUGUAACAUGUGGGAGACAACUGUGUUUCCUGGAGAAGAAAGGAAAGCUGUCUCACUCAGUGGAGACUGCCUAACGUCUAGCAGGAGAAAAACAACCAGCCAUGACAAGAAAAUGUUUUUUAAAACUUGGCACAGGAAUAGGAUUUUAUUUAUUUUGAACGCCUUUUCCAGUCUGGCCAACGUAGCGUGUGGAGGGAGGGGUGGCGGAGGGAAGCCGGUGUUUCAGCUAGGGCCCGCGGCUCGGAGUCAGGAGGUCUGGGCUCUAUUUCUGGCUCUGCCGCGGCCCCUUCCUGUGAGGCUCAGGUGAAGCCCUCAGAGAGAGCAUUCCGCAAGGAAGCUGGCCAUGAGCAUAGGGGUUUUAUCACAGAUAGUUAAAAGCACACUGUGCACAAUUUUGGCACGGCCAGUGAUCAGCACCAGCACUUCGUCUCUGUGUGGCUCUCCUGUCCAUGGGUCAGCUCUCAGCACGGUUGGGAAGUCCCUGGGUGAAGCCCAUGAAAAGAGUACAAAAACACCCCACCAGGCACUGGCUGGUGGCUCUGCUGUCCUCAGCGGUGAACUUCUGAUGCAACUUCCAGCCACAGGAAAGAGCAUCUCAUCCAAAGGGCGGACUCGCCUCCAAGCUGCAUACCAGCAUAACUGGAAGAGGGGAUCUGGCUCUACUGCUGCAUGCCUGCGACCAGAGCAACCAUUCCCACCUCCAGGAUGGGCAAAGGCAGGGGCAACCAGCAGCACUUUGUCUGGGCGGCACCGACAGCGCUCUUUGGGAAAGCAGGAGAGGAUUAACAACAGUGACAAAACAACCAUAGCUGUCUAAAGGAGAAACUGAUAAGCUGGGGAUUUUCCUGUCUGCUGACCCACCCUUUGAUAAGCACAACUAAUAACCUCCCCGUGAGUUAGUAGAGAUUCUUUUCAGCCUUGUCUCUUGUCUGUAAGCAUCCCUCCCAUGGCUGUGGCUCCUGUGGCUGUAGUGACAUCCGUAGCUGUGAGGGAUAUCUUGCCAGGUCACUGAUGAGUAAGGACAGAGAAUGUUUGCAGAACAGUGAGGUGAAAGGGGAUGAGAAUAAUCCACAGUGUACGUAAGGAAAGGAUUGCAAAAAUCUAAAAGGGGAGGAGGAAGAUGCAAGACUUGGAGGGAGAGAAGUGAAUAUCCUCAGGGAGGCAAAGGCUAAAGAAAAUAAAACACCAGGCAGGGAGAACUGGGUUGGAGAGAAGAGCAAGGGAGAACUGAGAAGCUGGAGCAAAGAAAUUGAGGAGGAUGGUGGCCAGGAAUGAGUGGGAAUGGCCAGGGAGAAAAGAGAGAAGUAGGUAAAACCACUGCGAAUAGAAAAGGAGCGUGACAAUGAGCAGGAGAAGACAAGUCUUUUGAGAAGAGGGAAUGUGAACCAAGAGAGGAAAGAAUGAUAUGAAGAUU